ACACGAUGAGUAGAUAUCAAACAAUGUAAACUCGCCCCACUGGCCAAUCGGCCCACACUAUAUCGCCACUUUAUAAAAAAAUCGCCCCACUCUUGUUUACCGACUCGCCCAACUUUUGAAAAAAGUGUAAAAUCAAAUUUAACAAUCAGUCUGACAACUCACUUAUUAACGAAAAGGGUUUAAACCCCACUGAAUAAAGGUCUGCCAACUCGCCCC
rnacentral:lncRNA from 1 species